GACGAACGCUGGCGGCGUGCUUAACACAUGCAAGUCGAACGCUGAAGCUUGGUGCUUGCCCUGGGUGGAUGAGUGGCGAACGGGUGAGUAAUACGUGAGUAACCUGCCCUUGACUCUGGGAUAAGCCUGGGAAACUGGUUCUAAUACUGGAUACGACAUGCCACUGCAUGGUGGUGUGUGGAAAGGGUUUUACUGGUUUUGGAUGGGCUCACGGCCUAUCAGCUUGUUGGUGGGGUAAUGGCCUACCAAGGCGACGACGGGUAGCCGGCCUGAGAGGGUGACCGGCCACACUGGGACUGAGACACGGCCCAGACUCCUACGGGAGGCAGCAGUGGGGAAUAUUGCACAAUGGGCGGAAGCCUGAUGCAGCGACGCCGCGUGAGGGAUGACGGCCUUCGGGUUGUAAACCUCUUUCAGCACGGAAGAAGCGAGAGUGACGGUACGUGCAGAAGAAGCGCCGGCUAACUACGUG
rnacentral:rRNA from 1 species